UACGAAGGUGGCAAGCGUUACUCGGAAUGACUAGGCGUAAAGGGCAGGUAGGUGGUUUGGUAAGUCUGCUGUGAAAGCUCCCGGCUCAACUGGGAGAGGCCAGCGGAAACUACCAGGCUUGAGUAUAGGAGAGGGUACUGGAAUUCCCGGUGUAGCGGUGAAAUGCGCAGAGAUCGGGAGGAACACCAAUGGCGAAAGCAAGUACCUGGACUAUUACUGACACUCAGCUGCGAAAGCUAGGGGAGCAAACAGG
rnacentral:rRNA from 1 species